GCUGGAAAAAUAGAAGCUUCUGGCCCCAGUGUUCUCACGCAUGACCAUAAUAAUUAAAAAGAAGCUUUGGCAGCCACCCCAGAGCAAGCUCAUGAGGAGAGAUGGGUCACAGAGCUGACCAGCAGUUCUGGAGUGAGGGUGGCCCUGGAGAAGCUGAAGUCCCAGGGGACGCCUGCAUCUGCAUGGCAGGAACCAAGUCUGUCAGUGAUUCUCCUCUCCCUCGAAACCAUCACUGCAAGAUCCCGCUCUGCCAUUUACUAGCUGUGUGACUUUAGGGACAACCAAACCAGCUCCUCCUGGAGAUCCCGGCCCCCUCCCUCUGGACAGCUGAACGGAAGUGAAGCUAACACGUCACCAAUUCCCAGACUUAGAUUCUGCAGCCUGGCGCCCCGCAUUGCAACAGCAGAGCCCCCAUGCUGUAGGAGUGACCAGCAUGGGCCCUGUGUGGCAGGAAGGUGAGUCCUCUGGCAGGGGAGGCAGGUGCUGGAAGCCAAGUAGGGGACAGGGACAGAUGGAACCACCUCAGCUUGGGUCCUGCAGCUCACAGCGCUUGCAGAGUGUCCCUGAGCCAUACAGAAGUAGGUGACCACCCACAGUUUGUCAGUGGGUCAUAGUUUGCUGACCUUAGAUGUAGCAAAAGAGACCUAAAUGUGACCCCAGUGUGGUUGCAGGGAGUAACCAGUGAGCACACCCGUGCCAGCGUUCUCCAGAGCACAACCCAUUAAGGGAUCACAAAAGCACGUCAGUGGCUCACCACCAGCAUCUUUUUAAUGAAACAAAGAGAAUGGAUUCUCUCCAGGUUUUUUAUGGCAUUCAUAUGGAUAAGCAUAUAUGCUCUGGGCACCAUGCCAAAUGUACUUCUUACUGAGGACUGGGUGCUAGGCACAGUUUUUGGCUUCUGUAUCCCUCAAAAGAGGUGUUUUCAUCUAUUUUUCAAACAUUCGUGGGGCAUCUGCCUUGAAAGUUUAAGAAUAAGCUCCUUGAGGAACAGGGUCAAGUCCCAGCUUUCCAUUAACUCUGAAACCUACCACCUUGGCACAUGGGCAGGAAGUGAAGGGAAGACAAGGGAGUUUGCUGGCUUCUGAGACAAAUGUAUAUUCCUGGGAGGACCCUGGAGAAGUGAAGAUCUUUGGUAGUACCUCUGGAUGCAUCUCACACUUAUCAUCCCACCAGAAGAUCUUAGAGGCCUCCAGUCUGGAGGUUUCCAGACUGUGCUCUGAGGAGGCCCAGGGUUCCGCAAUGUGCUUCAGGGGUGCCCAGGGAAAGAGGUUCUUGCUUUCCUCUUCUAACUUCAACUGGAGCAGCUUUGCACUUUUUUAUGUAUGUUUUAAGGUGACAUGUAAAUUUCUUCUGUCCAAAGGGCUCCAAUUCCAGAGCAUUGAACAAUCAAAAGGCCUGAAAACUAUCUAUUUUAUUCAACUAAUUUAAACCUAGGAAAACCUCAAAUACCCAAGAAAAGUCAGCAGUGGAUAGGGAGACUGGCCCUCAGACCUCUGCUCCCCACCCUGUUCAGCAGUCCUUUCACCACACUCCGCUGCAGCCCUGCUGAGUCCAAUUCUGCUCUGGGAGCAAUUCCCAGUGGACACGUGGCAGUCCAACAAGACAGUGUUAUAACAGCAGGCUCCAAAUCAAAGGAAAAGCAGAAGACAACACACACUGUUUUAAAUAUCAUAGAGAGACCAUCCCUGAAGUUGUUUAUCGUGAUUCAGACAUGGACAAGCUUUGGGAUCUUGGACAAGUCACUUCACAUCUCUGGACUUUGUUUCUGCAGUCCUCUCUGGCCCUCCGUUCUGAGUCCCCAUGGAUAGAACUGAUCAUCACUAGAGAGAAAGGAGAGCCACAGACCUAAUCUCCCAGGUGUCAGUUAUUAACUCCACCAGUAUAACAUGCCCUCUGAGGAGUGGUGGCAGUGGCCAUCUGCAGUCCACCUCCGCAGCAAGAUGAAGCCUCCUGGAGAAGCCAUGGAGGUGGAGAGAGAUUCAGGCUCCUAACUCGGCCCAGCCCUGCACAAACACAGGGAAACUGCACCUGGGAUUGAAAGCAUUAAUUUAGAAUUUCGUUGUCCUGGGCAUUCCAGCAACUCUGUGAUUCUCUAUUAGAGUUGAAGACACUGAGGCUCUGAGAGGUCACAUAAUUGUCCAAAGGGUGUAAGGGUACGAUGAGAGGGGACAGAGAGAGAGAGAGAUAGAGACAGCAUGCACUUGAGGUUUGAGACCCUCGAGGUGGAAGGACAUGUCAGCUUUAACUUGUUGACUGUCUUCUGUGACAAGAACUUUACAUACUUUAUCUCAUUAAAUCCUCACAAUAGCCAUGCAAUGUAGGUGUCAAAAACCCAUAUUACAAAAGAGUAAAAUGAAGUUGAGACAGGUCAGAGUGAUUCCAGGCACACAGCUGUUGGAUGACAGCACUGGUCUUCUCACUUGCUUUUUCUGAUUCCCAAAUCUUUGAUCUUCCCACUCUCUUGGGAUGCCUCAAGGCUGUGUGGACACACGGCCAGAACAUUCCUCCACUCAAUGUUGUGUAACCACAGGACAAAGAAGAAGACAGUGGCCUUCAACACUUGAUGUGAAAAUGUGGCAUGAGAAGAGCCAGUGAUCAAUCCAAUCUUGAUCAGAAUGUCAUUACCUCUGGUGAGAAAGCCACUGUCUGAGCACCUCUGGUCACCUUAUCCUGUGCCUUGUCAUCAGGUACACGAUAUGUGGGAGAGUCUGGAAUCCUCAUAAGGAAAGGACGGAGGCAGGGCUGUGAUAGAAAGCCCGUCUCCUUCCCUAGCUCUUUGCCUCAAUUAGCUUAAGAUACAAAUAGCCCCACAUAGUCUCACAAAGUCUUUCUACGAGUUGCCAAGUUGCGUUGUUUCCCACGGAACUGUAACAUUUUAUGAAUACAGUUAUUUAUGAGUGGUUCCACCCUAGUGGGAAAAAGAUAGGUUACAGAGUGAAAAGUCUCUUUACCUCUCAACCUUUGAUGCUUCAUUGUCAAAAUGAGGUAACAACCAUAACCUCCGCACAGGAUGGGCAUGAGGAUGCAAUGAAGUGAUGUGUCUGGAUCGUAGAGGUCCCUAUACAAACAUGAUUUCGUUUUAUGACUGCAGGCAGCUCCAGUUAUCCAAUUAAUCUGACGGGGGCUUCCCUCCUUGCCUGAUGGAGUGGUGAGGACAAGGGUCCCUCUAAUCCCAUAGGUAUUCUCUCAUGUAUCCUUGCAGCAGUCCCAUUUACAUACUAACCCCAUUUACAGACAGGGAACUGAAAGUUUGUGAAGUCAAUUAAAUGUAGGGCAAGUGGACUCUGCGCUGUCAGGAAAAGCUCCCAAUCUUGAAAUUACAGCUAGAAGAACCCUGAGAGAGGGGAUGCACACACUGCCACCUUGGCAGGCCUGGAACACGCUCCCGGUGCCCCACUUGGGCCAGUGGGGUGCACUGAGGGUCCCCAGCCUGACAUCCAGCCAGUAUUUAACUCCAAGGAGAGGGAAGCCACAGGGAAGGAUGGGGCCAAGAAAGAAGACACGGGACCUGUUGUAGAAAACCCCACAGACUCAGAAUGAAAUUUUGGCUUUGGUUAUUUUCUGGUGAUCCUCACGCAGAAGGAAUUGGGAAGCUGCUGCUAGCUGGAAGCUGGGGACCCCCACAUCACAGUUCUUAACUCACCUGAUUUAUAAACAGGCGUUCACAUGUACACAAAGCCAAAAGCGGCCUCCCACAAAUCUUCCAGUAAUUGCUCUGUGACCCACAGGGAGGGAAGGCAACAAAGCAAACUUCAAAGGGCCUUUGAAAAAUAACACUGACCACACGCAUUUGAAAAGAGGUCAGUGUGGAUUUGACAAAAGGCCAAAGGACAUUUGAAAACACAGAGAGUGACUAUUUGUUCCAAAACACACAGGGGAGUGUGCCCCGAGGGUCUGUGCGGGUUCUUGAGGUCUGUCUAGGAGAACUGUAGGAUCCUUGUGCUCAGGUGAGUUUCAAUGUUAGGAUGUGCGAUGCAGAGUUCUGUUGAUUACGGAGGGCCCAGUUUCCUAAGGAGGAUGUGAAAAUUAAUUUGAAACUGAAGCUGUGCGCAAAGGUGUCUGAGGUUGUUACAGUCAGAGUUGCCAGCAUUCUAGCUGGGAUCCCAUUAGCAUGUGACAUCAGACAAGUAAUCCAGGCAGCACGCCAGCCUCUCUACGUACAGACGGGAGCCCCUUCACCUCUCAAAGUCAGAUGACACAUGUGGGAUCAUUUCAAGCCUUUCAAUACUUUCGAUGUCAUAUUAUUCAUUUUCCCCUGAUAGCUUUUUUUCCUUGUCUUUAAGAAAAGUCUCAUGAAAAGGGGAAUUUAAAUUCACACGAAAGGAGGGGGCUCUUGGUCAGCUCCUCCUGAGAAACAGAUGACUUGUUUCAGUUCUCAAGGGGCUUUCCUAUUGCGGGAGGUAUCCCCAGUGAUUCCACUCCUUCAUUUCUGAAAAGGGAAAAAAAAAAAAAAAAAAACACCACAGACUUGGCAUUGGACAUAGACUCGUCAGAAAUGGCAUGGCUUUGAGCGUCAGUCAACACGAAUGGUGGCUGCCUUUCAUUUGGAGGCGCCAGCCCCUGAUUUCAACCAAUGCAAGACUCUGCAAAGGCUUUGAGUUUUUAUCAAGAAUACAUAUCAAGCUUUUCACAUUAACCUGACUUUCUACUUUGGGCUCUGGAUGAAAUAGCCAGGGACUUAAAAACUCAGGAAGAGACGGAGCUCUCUCUCUAUCCCAAAAAGAGAAGGGAAGAGGAGCCAUACCCCUCCAAGAAUCCCAGCUAGAGUGGCCGGCCUUGGGUUUGGAAGCCUGCGUCUUACUUAACAUUGUAGAUGUCUCUACCUGUCUUUGCCAUGCAACACUGCACUCCCAGAAAAAUCAAGCACACGACGGAAGGCAAUCACCUGAUCAUCAAUUUACCUACAUGACAGCGUUAAGAAAUAAACCAGAAGAAUAUUUUUCUUACUAUUUGUAGAAAUGAGGAGACAUUGAUGCAAAGGCAGACUGACACUAUUUGAGUUGUAGAAUGGUUAGGGACGUGAGGACGUGUCUCUCAGGCCUCAUCAAGCAGAUUAUUUAGUUUAUUUAUUUAUUUAUUUAUUUAUUAUUUUAUUUUAUUUUAUUUUGUUUUGUUUUAUUUGAGACAGAGUCUAGCUCUGUCGCCCAGGCUGGAGGGCAGUGGCACAAUCUCGGCUAACUGCAACCUCCACCUCUCAGGUUCAAGCAAUUCUCACGCCUCUGCCUUCCAAGUAACUGGGACUUCAGGCGCCCACCACCACACCCAGCUAAUUUUUGUAUUUUUAGUAGAGGCGGGGUUUCAUCAUGUUGGCCAGGCUGGUCUCAUCAGAUAGAUGACAUCAUCCUCAUGGACACAGUGACAGGCCCAGGGAGGAGCACGGGACACAAGCUGAACAAGUCAGACUGUUCCCUGGGCUCUUUCAGCCAGAAAUGUCAGGGGAGGUGAUCUUUCCUCAUGUGGGCUGCUGUGCAAAUAUAAGGUAUGCCUUGAGCUACCAAUGGCUAAUAUGCCUGUCCAAGAAACACUGAGAUAAAACACCCUAAUGGCCCUUGGAUCUAGCCAUGCCUGAAGCUGUUAUCAUCUGUUUCUGAGUCUUACUCAAGCAUUUUAUGAGCCAAUAGGUUCUUUCUUUCCUCUCUCUCUCCCUCUCUUAUGCUACUUUGAGAUAAGCUGUCACUUG
rnacentral:lncRNA from 1 species